rnacentral:rRNA from 1 species
CCUACGGGAGGCAGCAGUAGGGAAUCUUCCACAAUGGGCGAAAGCCUGAUGGAGCAACGCCGCGUGGGUGAAGAAGGUCUUCGGAUCGUAAAACCCUGUUGUUAGAGAAGAAAGUGCGUGAGAGUAACUGUUCACGUUUCGACGGUAUCUAACCAGAAAGCCACGGCUAACUACGUGCCAGCAGCCGCGGUAAUACGUAGGUGGCAAGCGUUAUCCGGAUUUAUUUGGCGUAAAGGGAACGCAGGCGGUCUUUUAAGUCUGAUGUGAAAGCCUUCGGUUUAACCGGAGUAGUGCAUUGGAAACUGGGAGACUUGAGUGCAGAAGAGGAGAGUGGAACUCCAUGUGUAGCGGUGAAAUGCGUAGAUAUAUGGAAGAACACCAGUGGCGAAAGCGGCUCUCUGGUCUGUAACUGACGCUGAGGUUCGAAAGCGUGGGUAGCAAACAGGAUUAGAUACCCCGGUAGUC